AUACGGAGGAUCCGAGCGUUAUCCGGAUUUAUUGGGUUUAAAGGGUGCGCAGGCGGGAGAUUAAGUCGGCGGUGAAAUUUUUCAGCUCAACUGUAAAAGUGCCUUCGAAACUGGUUUUCUUGAGUGUAGAUGAAGUAGGCGGAAUUUGUGGUGUAGCGGUGAAAUGCAUAGAUAUCACGAGGAACUCCGAUUGCGCAGGCAGCUUACUAAACUACUACUGACGCUCAGGCACGAAGGCGUGGGGAUCAAACAGGAUUAGAUACCCUGGUAGUCCACGCAGUAAACGAUGAUUACUAGCUGUUUGCGAUACAAUGUAAGCGGCUGAGCGAAAGCGUUAAGUAAUCCACCUGGGGAGUACGUUCGCAAGAAUGAAACUUAAAGGAAUUGACGGGG
rnacentral:rRNA from 1 species